UACGGGGGGGGCAAGCGUUGUUCGGAAUUACUGGGCGUAAAGGGCGCGUAGGCGGCCUUCUAAGUCGAACGUGAAAUCCCCGGGCUCAACCCGGGAACUGCGUCCGAUACUGGGAGGCUUGAAUCCGGGAGAGGGAUGUGGAAUUCCAGGUGUAGCGGUGAAAUGCGUAGAUAUCUGGAGGAACACCGGUGGCGAAGGCGGCAUCCUGGACCGGUAUUGACGCUGAGGCGCGAAAGCUAGGGGAGCAAACGGGG
rnacentral:rRNA from 1 species